rnacentral:rRNA from 1 species
CUUAACACAUGCAAGUCGAACGGGAUCCAUCGGGCUUUGCUUGGUGGUGAGAGUGGCGAACGGGUGAGUAAUGCGUGACCGACCUGCCCCAUACACCGGAAUAGCUCCUGGAAACGGGUGGUAAUGCCGGAUGUUCCAGUUGAUCGCAUGGUCUUCUGGGAAAGCUUUCGCGGUAUGGGAUGGGGUCGCGUCCUAUCAGCUUGACGGCGGGGUAACGGCCCACCGUGGCUUCGACGGGUAGCCGGCCUGAGAGGGCGACCGGCCACAUUGGGACUGAGAUACGGCCCAGACUCCUACGGGAGGCAGCAGUGGGGAAUAUUGCACAAUGGGCGCAAGCCUGAUGCAGCGACGCCGCGUGAGGGAUGGAGGCCUUCGGGUUGUAAACCUCUUUUAUCGGGGAGCAAGCGUGAGUGAGUUUACCCGUUGAAUAAGCACCGGCUAACUACGUGCCAGCAGCCGCGGUAAUACGUAGGGUGCAAGCGUUAUCCGGAAUUAUUGGGCGUAAAGGGCUCGUAGGCGGUUCGUCGCGUCCGGUGUGAAAGUCCAUCGCUUAACGGUGGAUCCGCGCCGGGUACGGGCGGGCUUGAGUGCGGUAGGGGAGACUGGAAUUCCCGGUGUAACGGUGGAAUGUGUAGAUAUCGGGAAGAACACCAAUGGCGAAGGCAGGUCUCUGGGCCGUUACUGACGCUGAGGAGCGAAAGCGUGGGGAGCGAACAGGAUUAGAUACCCU